GCCCAUCCAACAAAUAAUAGAAGAAUAUAUUUUAAUAAUAUGCAGAAAUAGAUGGCUAACUAAUUAAAGAUUAGGCAAUGUUGCAUAUACCUCUUUAGCACAAGAAAAGAAAAGUACCAAACUUUAACCAGAAUGAAUUUCUUUAGUUUUAGAAAAGCAAAGGAUCAAACAAAGGAAGUAGCUGGCUUUAAUGGGGUUUUAGUUUCAGGGUUUAAUACAAUUCUAUGAUUCUAAACAAGUCCAAACAUGUUUUUAGCCUAAAGAGAAAGGUUUUUGACAAUUAAGAUAUGCCCAGAGAAAGUUGUUUAAUACCCAAAAGAAAGAAAGCAAAAGAGCAUAAAACCACAAGAAAACAAGAACUUGACAAGCAAGAAAGGUAUUUUCAGCCCUUCAAUAAGAAAAAUUUGAAAAAGGGCUUCUCACAAUAACAAAAUCCCAAAAAUAUAUAUAACAAAAAGAAAAAAAGGAGUAAUUAAACACACUAAUUAUCCCACAAAAAAACCUCAAAACUACUGGUAAUCACGCUUUCUGGCAUUACUGGUAACUGGUGAUCACUAAAAUACCCGUUGCCUCCACUAUAAUCCUCGUACCACGGUAGAUUAUAUAGCCACGGGUCGCCGAACACGAACUCGUCCCUCAACUCGAGCGAUUCUUCCAAACUCGACCCCAGACUCGGCAACUCUACUAUCUCGCUCAGCUCUUCAGGUGUUGCCACGUAACAGGGUGAUGACGUCACCUCUGCCGUUGAGGAUGAAGAUUGCGUCAGCGUUGUUGAUGAUGAUGAUGAAGAUGAUGCAUUAUUGUUGCUAGUGCAGUUGUUGCAGUGGUCGCGGUGAGGGUGGUUGUUGUCAUCGUUACUGUUGCUAAUGCUGAAGUCCAUUGAAGCGGCUUUAGCUGCGGCGGCUUGGACGUCUCUUGGGGAGUUGGAAGUAGGUCGAGGCAGCGAGCCAGCCAGUUCCGGGAAGUUGAGGAUCGCUGAGUUUCCUUUAAUGCUCAAAGCAGCCACGUCGUGGGCACGUGCCGCCAUUUCCGGUGUGGAGAAAGUGCCGAGCCAGAUCCGAUUCUUCUUCCUGGGCUCCCGGAUCUCCGAUACCCACUUGCCCCACGUCCGCAUUCGGACUCCUCUGUACACCGAAUGUUUGCUAUUGUCCCUAGCCCUCUUAGGCCUCCUAGGAUUCUCUUCCGGAUCGGGUUUAUUCACUGGGUUUGGGGAUAAUCCGAAUGAAGACGGAGAAGAGGGAGGUGGAGAAGAGGAGGAAUAGGAAGAGUUAAAACUGGAGUCAGUCUCGGAGUUAGAGAUUGCUCUUAUGGGGUCAGCCAUUUUCGACGAUAUGAAUACUUUAAGUAGAGAGUUGGAGUGUUGGUUUUAGUAUAAAAACCCAGAAAGCAAAUUUCUCAGUGUGAUAUGUUCAUAAAUGCAGGAAGAAGGGUAAGCGUUACUGGGGGGUCUUUAUAGAGAACACUGUCAUUAGAGCGGAGAAGAUGGGUUAAAAAUGAAAGGAAAACGUGUGAAGCCGCGAAGAUCAAUUUUAAGU
rnacentral:misc_RNA from 1 species